AUUGCUCCCAUGUUUUUCUAUUAAAAUAAGUUUGUCUUGGGCAGAUUAAUGGUGUCGUCGACACUAUUUUGCUGUGUAGGGUUUAUUUAAAAGACACAAAUGGGCGCCAGCAUGGGAUUGAUGCACUGCCUGGCAUGACAAUUCUUUCUGCCUGUUUAGAGACUGUGAGCGGAGCAGGGCAUGGCUACUCGAGAGUAGAGGACGUUAACACUGGAUCAGCCAGUGAGGUCUCAUGGGAGCGCCCAUCUAGUGCUGCUCAAGGAACAUGGAAACUGAGUGAAAGCAAAUAUGGUUCAGUGUAAACUUUGCAGCCCUUCCCCUAAAAUUGCUAAUUUACCUCUCAUGAAUCACAGGUACAAUCAAUUUUGCUUCAUCUAUUGUAGUCUCCUGGUGUAAGCAUAUCUCAAUUGCUGUUAUUUCCGGAUGUAGCAUUUAGAAAUUA